UACGGAGGGUGCGAGCGUUGUUCGGAAUCACUGGGCGUAAAGCGCGUGUAGGCGGCCCACUAAGUCUGAUGUGAAAGCCCGGGGCUCACCCCCGGAAGUGCAUUGGAAACUGGUGGACUCGAGUCCCGGAAAGGAGAGUGGAAUUCCUGGUGUAGCGGUGAAAUGCGUAGAUAUCAGGAGGAACACCGGUGGCGAAGGCGGCUCUCUGGACGGUGACUGACGCUGAGACGCGAAAGCGUGGGGAGCAAACAGG
rnacentral:rRNA from 1 species